ACAACACACAAUAGGAGAACCUUCAGCAUCGAUAAAAUAACAGCCUACAACAUCAAUCAACAACAACAAAAUCCGGUGAGACCCAUCCAGCAACCUCCGACCCGCCAUCAGUUAGACCCAUGUCCUGCGAAUCCUAUCCGAACUAGCUCUAAUAACGACAACGUGACAACGGAUUUCAACAACCCAGCUCAGCAAAUAGUACAAAUCCAGCUCAUAAUCUUACCCUUUAUUUUGAAAUUCAAAUUUUCCCCUUGAAAAUACCUAAAUCACCCCUCUAUUUUGGGGACCCCACAUCGACGGGAUUUCAAAAGGGAUUCCUCGAUUCCCUGCAAUAAAAGCCUGCGGUGAGCUGAAGAAAAUAGGUCUCGGAAGGUGAAAAUCAUUUUGAGCAAAAAACUAGUAUAUUCGUAUAAAAUUUUCUUCUUCUCGAGAAAGGUUGGGGACUGUUCGGAGCUUUCGGAGUUGCAGAAAAAUCCUUCGAUGGUGAUAGAGUCCGAUGUUAGCUCGUUGCCGCAUUUUGCUGCUCUAAAAUAGGGCAAGGCUAAUGUGGUUCAAUGACUUGAGCUGAAAGUCGACUAGCAUUGGUAGCUUGGUGCGUCUUUUGACUCAGGAGAGGUUUAGUCUUUGACAAACUUGAUGGCUACUCUUAAUAUUUUGACAUCGAGGCGUGUUUUGGCAUUUAUGAAGGCUAGAUAUUCUUUGAUGGAGUAGAUUCAAGCUCAUCAGUUUGAUGAUGUUGGAUUGAGGUUGAUUCGAGAUAUGAUGUUGAGUGGGAAUGUUAAGGAACCCUCAUUUGAUUCAGAUGGAGAUUUGAGAAUUGGGGACUGAUUUUGUGUGUCGAGAGUGGUGAUUGGAUUAAGUUGAUCUUGGAGGAGGCCCAUUGUUCCAGAUAUUCUAUCCAUCCAGUUGUGAUUAAGAUGUAUCUUGAUUUGAGAUGACACUACUGGUGGGGUGGUAUGAGGUGAGAUAUAGUGGAUUUUGUGGCUCAUUGCAUAUGUUUCCAGCAGGUGAAGGUCGAGCAUAUGAGACCUGGUGGUUUACUUCAAAGAUUAAACUUUAUGACUAGUUCGCCUCGUACAUCUCAUGGUUCUGACAGUGCUUGGGUUAUUGUGGAUUGAUUGACCAAGUCAAUUUAUUUUAUUUCGGUUCGAGUUUUAUUCAGUGCUGAAAGGUUAGCCCCUAUCAUCAUUUGUGAGAUUGUUCGUCUUCAUGGUGUGAUGGUGUCCAUUAUUUUUUAUCGGGGUGUGUUCACAUCUCACUUUUGAAAGACUUUUUAGGAUGAGUUGGGUAUUCGAGUGGAUCUUAGCACAACAUUUCACGCCCAGAUUGAUGCCAGUCAGACAUACUAUAUAGGUUUUGGAGGAUAUGCUUCGUGCAUGCGUGAUGGAUUUUGGUGGCCAGUGGGGGCAAUAUUUUGCUUUAGUAGAGUUUGCAUUUAAUAAUAGUUACCAUUCCAGUAUUUGAUAUGGCUCUUUUUGAGGCGUUAUAUGGUAGGCGUUGUCAUUCUUAAUAGGUUGGUUUGGUGUUAGUGAUAAUGUUUUUCUUCGAGUUUCACCCAUGAAGGGUGUGAUGAGGUUUGGGAAGAAGGACAAGCUUUAACCCCAGGUAUAUUGGACUAUUUGAGAUUUUUCGGACUGUUGGUCAUGUGGC